rnacentral:rRNA from 1 species
AACGUGCCUAGUAGUGGGGGAUAACUACUCGAAAGAGUAGCUAAUACCGCAUGAGAUCUACGGAUGAAAGCAGGGGACCUUCGGGCCUUGUGCUACUAGAGCGGCUGAUGGCAGAUUAGGUAGUUGGUGGGGUAAAGGCUUACCAAGCCUGCGAUCUGUAGCUGGUCUGAGAGGACGACCAGCCACACUGGGACUGAGACACGGCCCAGACUCCUACGGGAGGCAGCAGUGGGGAAUUUUGGACAAUGGGCGAAAGCCUGAUCCAGCAAUGCCGCGUGCAGGAUGAAGGCCCUCGGGUUGUAAACUGCUUUUGUACGGAACGAAAAGCCUGGGGCUAAUAUCCCCGGGUCAUGACGGUACCGUAAGAAUAAGCACCGGCUAACUACGUGCCAGCAGCCGCGGUAAUACGUAGGGUGCAAGCGUUAAUCGGAAUUACUGGGCGUAAAGCGUGCGCAGGCGGUUUUGUAAGA